rnacentral:rRNA from 1 species
GACGAACGCUGGCGGCGUGCCUAAUACAUGCAAGUAGAACGCACAGUUUAUACCGUAGCUUGCUACACCAUAGACUGUGAGUUGCGAACGGGUGAGUAACGCGUAGGUAACCUGCCUGGUAGCGGGGGAUAACUAUUGGAAACGAUAGCUAAUACCGCAUAAUAUUAAUUAUUGCAUGAUAAUUAAUUGAAAGGUGCAAUUGCACCACUACCAGAUGGACCUGCGUUGUAUUAGCUAGUAGGUGAGGUAACGGCUCACCUAGGCGACGAUACAUAGCCGACCUGAGAGGGUGAUCGGCCACACUGGGACUGAGACACGGCCCAGACUCCUACGGGAGGCAGCAGUAGGGAAUCUUCGGCAAUGGACGAAAGUCUGACCGAGCAACGCCGCGUGAGUGAAGAAGGAUUUCGGAUCGUAAAGCUCUGUUGUAAGAGAAGAACGGGUGUGAGAGUGGAAAGUUCACACUGUGACGGUAUCUUACCAGAAAGGGACGGCUAACUACGUG